UUAAGCGACUAAGCGUACACGGUGGAUGCCCUGGCAGUCAGAGGCGAUGAAGGACGUGCUAAUCUGCGAUAAGCGUCGGUAAGGUGAUAUGAACCGUUAUAACCGGCGAUUUCCGAAUGGGGAAACCCAGUGUGAUUCGUCACACUAUCAUUAACUGAAUCCAUAGGUUAAUGAGGCGAACCGGGGGAACUGAAACAUCUAAGUACCCCGAGGAAAAGAAAUCAACCGAGAUUCCCCCAGUAGCGGCGAGCGAACGGGGAGGAGCCCAGAGCCUGAAUCAGUGUGUGUGUUAGUGGAAGCGUCUGGAAAGGCGCGCGAUACAGGGUGACAGCCCCGUACACAAAAAUGCACAUGCUGUGAGCUCGAUGAGUAGGGCGGGACACGUGGUAUCCUGUCUGAAUAUGGGGGGACCAUCCUCCAAGGCUAAAUACUCCUGACUGACCGAUAGUGAACCAGUACCGUGAGGGAAAGGCGAAAAGAACCCCGGCGAGGGGAGUGAAAAAGAACCUGAAACCGUGUACGUACAAGCAGUGGGAGCCUCUUAAUGGGGUGACUGCGUACCUUUUGUAUAAUGGGUCAGCGACUUAUAUUCUGUAGCAAGGUUAACCGAAUAGGGGAGCCGAAGGGAAACCGAGUCUUAACUGGGCGUUAAGUUGCAGGGUAUAGACCCGAAACCCGGUGAUCUAGCCAUGGGCAGGUUGAAGGUUGGGUAACACUAACUGGAGGACCGAACCGACUAAUGUUGAAAAAUUAGCGGAUGACUUGUGGCUGGGGGUGAAAGGCCAAUCAAACCGGGAGAUAGCUGGUUCUCCCCGAAAGCUAUUUAGGUAGCGCCUCGUGAAUUCAUCUCCGGGGGUAGAGCACUGUUUCGGCAAGGGGGUCAUCCCGACUUACCAACCCGAUGCAAACUGCGAAUACCGGAGAAUGUUAUCACGGGAGACACACGGCGGGUGCUAACGUCCGUCGUGAAGAGGGAAACAACCCAGACCGCCAGCUAAGGUCCCAAAGUCAUGGUUAAGUGGGAAACGAUGUGGGAAGGCCCAGACAGCCAGGAUGUUGGCUUAGAAGCAGCCAUCAUUUAAAGAAAGCGUAAUAGCUCACUGGUCGAGUCGGCCUGCGCGGAAGAUGUAACGGGGCUAAACCAUGCACCGAAGCUGCGGCAGCGACACUAUGUGUUGUUGGGUAGGGGAGCGUUCUGUAAGCCUGUGAAGGUGGCCUGUGAGGGUUGCUGGAGGUAUCAGAAGUGCGAAUGCUGACAUAAGUAACGAUAAAGCGGGUGAAAAGCCCGCUCGCCGGAAGACCAAGGGUUCCUGUCCAACGUUAAUCGGGGCAGGGUGAGUCGACCCCUAAGGCGAGGCCGAAAGGCGUAGUCGAUGGGAAACAGGUUAAUAUUCCUGUACUUGGUGUUACUGCGAAGGGGGGACGGAGAAGGCUAUGUUGGCCGGGCGACGGUUGUCCCGGUUUAAGCGUGUAGGCUGGUUUUCCAGGCAAAUCCGGAAAACCAAGGCUGAGGCGUGAUGACGAGGCACUACGGUGCUGAAGUGACAAAUGCCCUGCUUCCAGGAAAAGCCUCUAAGCAUCAGGUAACAUCAAAUCGUACCCCAAACCGACACAGGUGGUCAGGUAGAGAAUACCAAGGCGCUUGAGAGAACUCGGGUGAAGGAACUAGGCAAAAUGGUGCCGUAACUUCGGGAGAAGGCACGCUGAUAUGUAGGUGAAGCGACUUGCUCGUGGAGCUGAAAUCAGUCGAAGAUACCAGCUGGCUGCAACUGUUUAUUAAAAACACAGCACUGUGCAAACACGAAAGUGGACGUAUACGGUGUGACGCCUGCCCGGUGCCGGAAGGUUAAUUGAUGGGGUUAGCGGUAACGCGAAGCUCUUGAUCGAAGCCCCGGUAAACGGCGGCCGUAACUAUAACGGUCCUAAGGUAGCGAAAUUCCUUGUCGGGUAAGUUCCGACCUGCACGAAUGGCGUAAUGAUGGCCAGGCUGUCUCCACCCGAGACUCAGUGAAAUUGAACUCGCUGUGAAGAUGCAGUGUACCCGCGGCAAGACGGAAAGACCCCGUGAACCUUUACUAUAGCUUGACACUGAACAUUGAGCCUUGAUGUGUAGGAUAGGUGGGAGGCUUUGAAGUGUGGACGCCAGUCUGCAUGGAGCCGACCUUGAAAUACCACCCUUUAAUGUUUGAUGUUCUAACGUUGGCCCCUAAUCGGGGUUGCGGACAGUGUCUGGUGGGUAGUUUGACUGGGGCGGUCUCCUCCUAAAGAGUAACGGAGGAGCACGAAGGUUGGCUAAUCCUGGUCGGACAUCAGGAGGUUAGUGCAAUGGCAUAAGCCAGCUUGACUGCGAGCGUGACGGCGCGAGCAGGUGCGAAAGCAGGUCAUAGUGAUCCGGUGGUUCUGAAUGGAAGGGCCAUCGCUCAACGGAUAAAAGGUACUCCGGGGAUAACAGGCUGAUACCGCCCAAGAGUUCAUAUCGACGGCGGUGUUUGGCACCUCGAUGUCGGCUCAUCACAUCCAGGGGCUGAAGUAGGUCCCAAGGGUAUGGCUGUUCGCCAUUUAAAGUGGUACGCGAGCUGGGUUUAGAACGUCGUGAGACAGUUCGGUCCCUAUCUGCCGUGGGCGCUGGAGAACUGAGGGGGGCUGCUCCUAGUACGAGAGGACCGGAGUGGACGCAUCACUGGUGUUCGGGUUGUCAUGCCAAUGGCACUGCCCGGUAGCUAAAUGCGGAAGAGAUAAGUGCUGAAAGCAUCUAAGCACGAAACUUGCCCCGAGAUGAGUUCUCCCUGAGACUUAGAGUCUCCUGAAGGAACGUUGAAGACGACGACGUUGAUAGGCCGGGUGUGUAAGCGCAGCGAUGCGUUGAGCUAACCGGUACUAAUGAACCGUGAGGCUUAACCUU
rnacentral:rRNA from 1 species